rnacentral:tRNA from 1 species
AGUUUAGUGCCUGAUUAUAGGAUUAUUUUGAUAGAAUAAUAAAGUAAAAAUAAAAUUUACCUUAACUG